AUUGAACGCUGGCGGCAGGCCUAACACAUGCAAGUCGAGCGGAUGAGGGGUGCUUGCACCCUGAUUCAGCGGCGGACGGGUGAGUAAUGCCUAGGAAUCUGCCCGAUAGUGGGGGACAACGUUUCGAAAGGAACGCUAAUACCGCAUACGUCCUACGGGAGAAAGUGGGGGCUCUUCGGACCUCACGCUAUCGGAUGAGCCUAGGUCGGAUUAGCUAGUUGGUGGGGUAAAGGCUCACCAAGGCGACGAUCCGUAACUGGUCUGAGAGGAUGAUCAGUCACACUGGAACUGAGACACGGUCCAGACUCCUACGGGAGGCAGCAGUGGGGAAUAUUGGACAAUGGGCGAAAGCCUGAUCCAGCCAUGCCGCGUGUGUGAAGAAGGUCUUCGGAUUGUAAAGCACUUUAAGUCGGGAGGAAGGGCUGUAGGUUAAUACCUUGCAGCCUUGACGUUACCGACAGAAUAAGCACCGGCUAGCUUCGUGCCAGCAGCCGCCGUAAGAC
rnacentral:rRNA from 1 species